UGUGGUUCUACUGGUGUUACUGGUUCUGCUGGUGAGAUGAUGUGUUCACGGGAAACUUGCAGCAGGUAAACAAGAGGAAAGAAGAGAAACAACAGAGACUGAUUCAGCUGUGGUCUACUCAGCAGUGAGAACUGAAGACAUCAGUUAUGGACAAACAACCAUCAGAACAAGGAGGCCCAGGUACAGCUGCUCUUUAUCUGUGACUGUGGACAGAGACAAGCUAGCUGCUCACCCUGUUUACAGACAUCAUGCUAAGCUAAGCUAACCACACCAUGACUCAGAGCUCAAGAUGAGACUUUUGGAGGAUAAGACACAUCAAGAUGCACAGAGCAGAGCAGGAGGACAGGAAGAGACUUAGAGCAUUUAUAGAAGCUCUGUGAUUUGUAUCUGAGCUGGUUCCCAGUAAAGUCUGAACUGGGACUGUGUGUGAUGCAAAAAGGUGGAGAUUGGAGGUCUUGAUUGAACUACAAAGCUUGUAAUCAUGUUUCCUGUUGUUUGAACUGUGUGUGUUUGUGUUCAGACUUUAAACCAGAGCCAGACGUCAUCUACUCUUCACUGAAGUAGUCCACCAGUCCAACCACUGACGUCCAGCUGCUGGUCCCUAACUGGUCCCCCCAGUACCUCAGGCCAGAGGACAUCCACAUGUUCAAGAUUUUUAUAUGUUUUAUGUCUUUUUAUCACUGAAUUAAACUCUGAUGACCCAGAACUACUUACUAGAAGUCAGUUCUUCACUUGAUGUUUGUUGGCUGUUGUUCCCACAGCAGUUUCU